CACUCAUAAACCUAGGAUACUAACAUUUGACAUUGAUUUUUUCAAAGGUGUAUGUAGUAACAAAAAUUCUUCUAACCCUGACUUGGUGAACAAUUUAAUGAAAGAAAAACUUCGUAUUCUCUCUGAAAAAAGUUAUGACGUUAUUUUCACCGACGGUUCUGUUAAAGAUAAUUUCACAAGGAGUGCUUUUUACCAAAUAAAUAGCAACACAACGAAGAGUUUUUAUAUGAACAAAAAAUUAUCCUCGCUCACUGCAGAACUUACAGCCCUAGAGAAAGCCAUUGAGUUUGCAAUUGAACAACAACUUUUCAAGGUAUCUAUUCUGACUGAUAGCUUGGGUGCUUUACAAACCCUCUUCUAAUCGCAUAGGGUCUGAAAUCUUAACUCCAAUCAAAGCUGUACCUUCAACUCCAUCACGUUCCUAGUCAUGUUAAUAUUAAGGGAAACGAAAUAGCUGACAAUGCUGCGAAAAACGCCAAUAGCUCAGGAACACUUAUCAAUUUUAAAUAUGAGAUCAACGAUGCUAUUAACCAUAUUUAUAAUAUAUAAUAAAAUUGAAUGGGAACGCGAAUAUAAUGCCUUCUGUUUAGAAAAGAACAGGGGUUAUUGCACCCUAUUUCCUUAUGUCACACAUAAGCCAUGGUAUAGUUCCAAACACUGCAAUCUGAAUAGAUUACAAGUUAAGCAAAUUAACAGGAUCCUCAGUGGCCAUUCUUUUGAUAGAUACACUCUAUACAAACUAAAAGUGUAUGACAGCCCCAACUGUGAUUGCAACCUCAACACCAUAGAAGACAUAUCUCACAUUCUCCUGAAAUGUACAAAAUACAAUAAUAUCCGUCGAAGAUUCCCGCUUCUGCUUAAAUAUAAUGACAUCUAUCAAUUUUUUAAACAAGAACCCUUUGAAAAAUACACACUGUUGCACACUUUUGACCAAAAUUAUAAUACCCUCUGCAAGGGUAUAAAAAGUACACUGAAAAGAAAUUUUCUAAAUCAAAAUAAUGCAUUUAGUGUUUUUUAUUUUAAUAAGAUGUUCUUUGUUAACAACUGGCCCCUGACCGCGACCGCACUUCGAAAUAAUAAAUAAAAUAAAAAUAUAGGAAUAAAAAUAUUCCCAAGCAAUUAACAAACACCUGAUGCCGCUUUGCCCUAGCGGUCAUGCAAUGCGCUGUUUGUGAGUUGCUCCGAAAAAAAUAUUCCAUGAAAUUUGCAGCUUCUUUUUUCCCCCGGAAGAGCUUUGCAGCUCCUUUUUUCCCCCGGGAGAGGGGUUUUUCAGGCGACACGAUCGCUAGGUGGCGACACGAAAUAUUCUUUUUCGGCACGUGGAUCAAAAAGACUAAACAACGCAAUAACUGAUUUCAUUGAAAUGGCAAAGAUAGAUCUAUAAGAUACAUUAACUUAGUUUAACCAACUAUCGGAAUAUUGGAUUUAAAUAUCAUUAUGCACAAAAAUAACAUUUCACCCCCAUAAUAAUAUGGUCACUCUAACAAUCGUUUAUCGUUUCAUGCAUCAUCACUAUAUAUUUUUCUCGAAGUUCUUAAUUUCACACAUAGGCGUUGGCGUUUACCCGUCUUUACGGGACGGCCAAGGAAAUCUUCCCCCUCGUUGAGCUGGAAAGUGGUGAAACAAUAUUUUUGCCUGGGUAGCUGGGUCCAACCCUUGAAGCAGCAACUGGACAAUGAGGCAGCCGUCGAUCGGAAAUGUCGUUCCACAUUUUUCAAGGCUCGCAUAUGGGCAUUGUAUUUAUUUAAAAGCCCUCAAAGCUCUGACACUGAGCCACCUUCCAAUAGACUGAGGCCCGAAAUCUCGUUCACAUGAGCCUAAAAUAUUAGCCGAUGUUUUAUUUUAUUAUUAUUAGUUAUUAAAUCGCUUCUCUAAACGAUGCGACACGGCAUCAUAAUUCUGCUCGGAGAUUUGCAAGAAACGAACUGUUUCUAAAGCUGGGUCCCAAAGAGAAGAUCGGAACCUCUGCAGUUGUUCCACCCCAUAAAGAUUGCAGCCCUGAUUGUUAAGCAAACGGAGUGAAACUGAGCCCAUUCCGAAUAUCUUCCGGUGAAAAUCCAUCGCAAUUCGCUGAGGAUAUUUUAAAAUAGCACUCCGAGCUGUAGUUGGUGCUCUUGAGACUGUGCCGCCGGAGUUCAUCGCCACUAUAAUUGAACUACGAUCAAUCAAAAAAAAGAAACGCAGUUAAUAAUUCUGGCGUCAAAAUUAUAUUGCUUAUAAUUUAUUUGAUUAAAUUUAAUUAUAAUUGUUCGCGGAGAACACAACUUAUUCCAAUGUGCGCUCAGAACCAUACACUGAGUUAUGGUGUUCCACGGAAACAGUAGAUGAUGGAACCUAUGUUUUUUCUGGACUUUGGUUCAAGGGAGCCUAAAGGUUUUGAAGCAGUAGAAAUUUUUCAUGGAGGAAAAAAAAAUUGGUAGUUGUCGGACUGAAGUCGAUCACAGAUCGCUUCUUUUUGAUGCCAUUAUCGUCAGUUCCUUCGUCCCUUCUCGUCAAACACAAGUAAAGAUGUUAUAUGGGAACCUGGAAGUCCUAAUUAUGCCGUUAUUCAGCAGUUUCUUUAGUUCUUGGUAGAACGACUUCUGCAGUGUAGGGGUAUUAUAUAGAGAUCACGGGUUCUUCACUCAUGGGCCAAUGGUAGCGAUGACCGAGGUGUUUUUUAUUAUUUUUUAUUUAGGUGGAUUUUUAUCCUCACCUUUCCAUUGCUUUCCUUGGAAUUUACUAUUACAUCUGUUACCCUGAUUAACAUGGAAUUUGUCUUCUUUAGCUUUUGCGUAAAAUGAUACGAAUGCACUUUUUCUUCUGUUUUCGGCAACCCGUGCUAGGGCUAGCACGGACGGGAGGUCUUUGGGUUGUGCUGGCAUAACCAGUGAUUUAAGCGGGCACUUUUUUUUUUUAAUUUUGAGCCCAGCAAUAAAGACAUUCUGAUCUCCUUAUUCAAGAGGGUUGCCGUUUGGUGACGAGUGUGAGUGGAGAGGACCACUUCGUCGUAACACGCCAUAUUGUCCGCAUAUAUGCAGUCUAGCCUAGCCAGAAUUUUUGAACACUUCAUAUGCAUCUGAUGCAGCAUGCCUCCACGAUACAUACUCAUCGUGGCAUUUGUUUUAUGAUAAAAGCGUUUUUACAAUAUCUUAUUCGACAUCGGGGGAAACUAUUCCAGUUACUAUCACCAAAGUCGUAAAUUCAUGGGAGUACGAGAGCAAUGGGACUGGUUAUCCCAGUUUAAAAUAGAUUUAAGGUUUUCAUGUAAGUUAUUAUAAUAAUUUUUUAUUUGAAUAAAAGUAGUUUGGAAAAAGAACUCAUUGCAGCAACAUUAUUUCUAUUGAUAGGAUGUAUAAAAAGUUUGACAUUGAUAGCUUUAAAACUUAGAGAUAAGUUCGCGUAGAAAGACUGACAUGCUUAUAUCGACUCAGGUGAUGAAGAUUAAGAAUAUAAAUUACACUAGUUUACACUCAAAAUGCCUUUCGUUAUUCAUUAUGAUUUUCUGAUGUAUGUAGGUCUAGUAAACACGAAAAUGACUUUCAUAAA